rnacentral:lncRNA from 1 species
UCAUCAGUAAAAUAUAUACCACAAUGGAGAGCACGAGUCAAACGACUAACAGAUGCAAGACUAAAAGGACAACCAGGGACAUAAAGAACGGAAUCUAGGGUGAUAAAAGAUAAUGGGUUAGCUUGUCCAACUCCUUGUGCCUUAGUUUGACAUCCAUUGGCUAAAGUAACAGUGGAAAGAGACUGUGAAUAUACAAUAUUCGACAAAAGUGAUUUAUUACCAGA